CUUGAGGUCUAUCCCGACUAGGGCUUCUCCUUCGGCUGCACAUCGCUGGAAACGCCUCCGAGUAACACUGGUUUUGCCUCGCUCACAGUCUAUUUCUUAGGCCUGUAAGACAGCAAGCCGUAUGAAAGAC
rnacentral:snoRNA from 1 species